UCUCUUUCUUCAGAUGAUGAUCCCAAGCCUUCUGGCGAUCUAGAAAAACAAGCCUUAACUUUAGGCUUUCGGAAAACAUUUUCGUUUUUAUGAAAUGAUGUGUUUUUAUGAGAUUAUGCCGGGGAAGGUUUUCCGGUUUAUCCCGGAGGGCUUGUAGCUCAGUUGGUUA
rnacentral:misc_RNA from 1 species